UCAUUUCACAUACCCUUAGUUUUUUCAGCACUGAAGGGUCGUCAGAAAGGAAUUUAAUUGCUAAAGUUAGAGCCAGGGAAGUUGUUUCAAAGCUAGCAAAUAGUAGAACGAACAUCAAAUCCAGAGCAAUUGCCUCUGUUAGAAUUGUUCCCUCUUUCUGAAGUUCUUCAAGGACAAAAUCAAAAAAGUCAUUUCGGCUCUUCCCUUGCAUUGCCCGUCUUUCAUUUAGCAGGAAUAUCCAGAGGAAAGGAGAUUAAUCCUUGUAUGAAAGCAACAAAAUUCUCCCUCAGAUUCUGGGUGGCAUUGUCUUGGUCAUAACUUAUCAGCUUUUUGGCCGUCAGAUCAAAUAUCAUCUGCAAAUAGACAUAAGGAUUGAUGAAGAAGAUGAUGAAUGAUAAUUAGCAGAAAUGGAUGUAAAAGAAACGUGGGAAGAAUAGACAGGUAGGAGAAGAAAGUGCUGGCAUGUAUCUUAUGAUUCUCAUCAAACCAUAAGAAGCUCUACUUAAAUAGCAAGCUAAUGCAUACAACUGUUCAAUGGAAUUAAUUAUAUAUUAAUUUUCCUUUUUCACUUUAUUAUUAUUUUUGUACUCCAAGGAUACAAAUAGAAUGAAUAAUUUA